GGUUUAGUGGUCAGAACAUUGGUGCGUAAAGCCAAAGGUUCCGGGUUCGAUUCCCGG
rnacentral:tRNA from 1 species